UCCUCGGUAGUAUAAUGGUGAGUAUCCCCGCCUGUCACGCGUUAGACCGGGGUUCGAUUCCCUCCGCAGAG
rfam:Nematostella vectensis strain CH2 x CH6 NEMVEscaffold_226_Cont19669, whole genome shotgun sequence.